rnacentral:rRNA from 1 species
AAAGAAAAUAUUUAAUAAUUUUAUAGGUUUUUUAAUUAUUUAAUAUAAAUAAAUUUAAAUUUAAUGGUUUUUGUAUAGUUUGUAGAUCAAAUAUUUUUUUUUAUAGAAUAGUAGUAUUGAGAAAGAAAAUUGAAAAAUUUUUUGUUUAUGAAAAAGUAAUAUUAGUUUUGUGUACCUUUUGUAUCAGGGUUUAUUAAAUAAUAAUAAAAGAUUUUAUAAUCUCGAAUUUAAAGGAGCUAAAUUAUUAUGAAAGUUUUUGUGUUAUAAAAAUUUUAUAUAAUAAUUUAGGAAUGAAAUGUUAUUCGUCUUUAAAUAUAUCUAGUUUUUUAAGAAAUAAAUUUAAUUUAUAUAUUAAUAAGUUAAUUUUUUUAUUUUUAAAAAAGUUAAUUAUUAAUAUAAAUAUGUUAGGGGAUAAGCUUUAAUUUAUUAAGAUUAUAAUUGAAUAAAAUAAUAAAAUUAUUUGUAGAUUUAGUAAUUGUUAUCAAUAAAAAAUUUGUAUUAAUUUAUAAAUUUAAUAAAAAUAUUUAAUAAAAUUUAAUUUUAGUAUUAAAAUGUAAAUUUUAAUUUACAAAAUUUAGUAAUAAUGAUAAAAUUAGUAUAUUUAGGUUGUUUAAAUAUAAUUUUUAUGAAGAUUAUAUUAAGGAAUUCGGCAAAAAUAAUGUUCACCUGUUUAACAAAAACAUGUCUUUUAGAGUAUAAUUUAAGGUCUAGCCUGCCCACUGAAUUUAAUUUGAAGGGCCGCGGUAUUUUGACUGUGCAAAGGUAGCAUAAUCAUUAGUCUCUUAAUUGGAGGCUUGUAUGAAUGGUUGGAUGAAACAUUAACUGUCUCAAUUUAAUAAUAAUAGAAUUUAAUUUUUAAGUGAAAAAGCUUAAAUAUAAUUAGAGGACGAGAAGACCCUAUAGAUCUUUAUAAUAAAUUAGUUAUUUUAUAUAUAGAAAAUUAAUUGAUAUUAAUUAAUUAAUUAUUUUAUUGGGGUGAUAAAUAAAUUUAAUAAACUUUAUUUUAUAUAAACAUUUAUUUAUGAAUAUUUGAUCCAUUAUUAAUGAUUAUAAGAUUAAGUUACCUUAGGGAUAACAGCGUAAUUUUUUUAGAGAGUUCUUAUCGAUAAAAAAGUUUGCGACCUCGAUGUUGAAUUAAAGGUUAAUUUUAGGUGUAGAAGUUUAAAGUUUUGGUCUGUUCGACCAUUAAAUCUUUACAUGAUUUGAGUUCAAACCGGCGUGAGCCAGGUUGGUUUCUAUCCUUAAUUAAAUAAAAUAUUUUAGUACGAAAGGACCAAAUAUUUAAAAAAUUUUUUAAAAUUAGAAUAAUAUUAAU